rnacentral:rRNA from 1 species
AUGGGAACGCGAAGAACCUUACCUGGCCUUGACAUGCUGAGAAGUCUGUAGAGAUACGGAUGUGCCUUCGGGAACUCAGACACAGGUGCUGCAUGGCUGUCGUCAGCUCGUGUUGUGAAAUGUUGGGUUAAGUCCCGCAACGAGCGCAACCCUUAUCCUUUGUUGCCAGCGGUUAGGCCGGGAACUCAAAGGAGACUGCCAGUGAUAAACUGGAGGAAGGUGGGGAUGACGUCAAGUCAUCAUGGCCCUUACGAGUAGGGCUACACACGUGCUACAAUGGCGCAUACAAAGAGAAGCGACCUCGCGAGAGCAAGCGGACCUCAUAAAGUGCGUCGUAGUCCGGAUUGGAGUCUGCAACUCGACUCCAUGAAGUCGGAAUCGCUAGUAAUCGUAGAUCAGAAUGCUACGGUGAAUACGUUCCCGGGUCUUGUACACACCG